rnacentral:rRNA from 1 species
CCUACGGGGGGCAGCAGUGAGGAAUAUUGGUCAAUGGACGCAAGUCUGAACCAGCCAUGCCGCGUGCAGGAAGACGGCUCUAUGAGUUGUAAACUGCUUUUAUACGGGGAUAAAUCCCGAUACGUGUAUCGGGUUGCAAGUAUCGUACGAAUAAGGAUCGGCUAACUCCGUGCCAGCAGCCGCGGUAAUACGGAGGAUUCGAGCGUUAUCCGGAUUUAUUGGGUUUAAAGGGUGCGUAGGCGGUUCGAUAAGUUAGAGGUGAAAGCACGCGGCUCAACUGCGGCAUUGCCGUUGAUACUGUCGGGCUAGAGUUUAGUUGCGGUAGGCGGAAUGUAUGGUGUAGCGGUGAAAUGCAUAGAGAUCAUACAGAACACCGAUUGCGAAGGCAGCCUACCAAACUACGACUGACGUUGAGGCACGAAAGCGUGGGGAGCAAACAGGAUUAGAUACCCCGGUAGUC